rnacentral:lncRNA from 1 species
AAGUGCUUAUUUUAUUUUCUGUGGGCUCAAAGAAGCCUUCAUAUACCAGUCUUUGACAUAAAAAUAUGAUCCUGACCAUUUAACCCCCCCCCCAAAUAUAUAACUAUUUUGGGAAGUAGAUAUUAUUGGAGAAAUUUUAUUAUUGGGAAAUAAUGGAUUAUGAAAAGCAAUUCCUAAGGCAGGGAUGAUAUCUAAAUCAUCUCCCAUCACUCCAAAUAUAUCACCAAAUAUUGACUGAAUUUUUACUUACUUCAUGUACCUAAAAUACUGAUAUUGAGAAUGCAAUGAGCUCAUUAAAACUAUAAUGUAAGAAUUCAAAUCCUUUUGAAGGAUUAAUAAACCAUUUUCAUUAAUAACCAUUAGUAUGAAUUAGUGCAAUUAGGCUAUUUUAAUAUUAUCUCGGUUUCACUGAAUGAGUUAGAGAUUCAGAGCUUUAACCAGGAAGGGAUGGAGGAUUUGGGAUAGCAUGAAAAUACACAUAUUCUUAAGAGAGGGGAAAAAGGACAACGUUAGACUCAUAAAGAGAGAUGGAAAAGUACCAAAAUAGAAAGGCAUUUUCUUCUUUAUUCUAACAUUUGAAAUAAUUCAGUAUUCAGGCACAUACUAUUAAUAUUAGGGUCUGGCUAAAUCAUGGUUUAGACAGUCUUUUAGAACUACCUAUGGAACCUGGCAGUCAUUUAAAUAUAUUUUAUUUACUGGAAAAGAUAUUCUGAGAUUGUAAAGAUAUCCUGAGAUUCAAACCUUGAUGUAUAAUCAUACUUUUGAUGUUAUAGAUUGUGUUGGAAAUUAAGAUAACUCUGGCUCGAGUAGUCAGUGUCGGAAAGUGAGACACAUGGACAAGGAGAAAUCUCCACAAGUCUCUUUACUUCUUCAGAAGGGCACAGGUACUCCAAAAAGCACGCGCGUUGAACAAAGGACCCUCCCCUAUUUAUCCUUAACACAGGUGACGUACCUGUCCCCUUCCCAUUGGUCACAUCAGGGCGCACAUUCUUCCUAGUUGGCUAAUUGAAACAAAUUGUUACUGGGAGAAGAGGGAAAGAGGAAGGGGGUCACAGGAGCAUUUCAGCUGAAACCAGAGCAAAAUGGAGUCGCCAAGAUUUCCUUUGAUAGAAGAAACAUUAUGCUACUUUCCACAACUGUUAUUAAAUUUUUAUAUGUAUAAUAUCAUGUCACUCUGGAAUAUAAAUUUUGAGGCCAUACACAGUAAAAAAUCAGACAUUUAAUUAUUAGUUUUUAUUUCUUUGAGUUUGUAAAAGAGUAUUAAUAUAUCCUCUUCUUGGCUUGUUGGGGAGAGAAUAACCUUCUUCCAGUUCUGAGACUAAUGCUUCUUUUUGCAAAGUAGGCUAUUAGAGUCUAUUGACAUUUACAAGAAAGAAAGAAAAAUCCUCACUUUUUCAGUACUUAAGUUGUCACCUAUCAGGAACAUAGCCAAGAACAACAACAAAAAAAAUAAGUUAUAGAAACGAGUCUGAGUGACCUAAGUACCAAUAUCCCCUGUUCUUUACUCAUAGGAAAGGUACUCAGACCAAUCUUAACACUUAUUUACUCUCACUUUACACACAAUUCUAAUAAGCUGGCUUGUCUGGUCUCUAAACCCAAAAUAGCCUGGAGACACCUGAAUUAAGGUGUGGUAUGGGACAAGGUCCAUAUGUAAUCUCAUGAACACUCUAAGUGACAUUAUUUUAUGACAAGUUAUCUUUAUUUUCCUUAAGAACUCUUUUGAAGAUUACCUUUCUUGAGUUAAUACUCUUUUUCCAACUUUAGGGCUGACGCUUUAUAUAUUACUUAAUUCUAUCUCACUCACUUCAAUGAGUUAGGAAUUAUUGCCUUUAUGCAUUCUCUCCCAUCCCCUCUUCUCCUAGCCUCAUAGAACUAGUGGUUGGGUAGGGAUAUUAUAUUUAUUUAAUUCAUAUUAUAGGUCAUGCCAUACUUGAAAGAUAAAGCAAAUAGUUGAAAGACCAUCAAGGGUAUCAUACUAGGGAAAAUUUCAACCACAACUGCUGUCAAGAGGGUAUAUAUAUCUUGACCAUUCUUUCUCUCUUCCUAUUUCAACCUGCCAUCCCCAUGGCAGAGGGUUUUUGCCUCCCUUUAGAGAAGGUUCAGGACAUGUAGAGGUUUCCCCCCAUCCUACAGGAGCAGCCAAGCACCACCUUGUACCUAUGCAGUUUUGUCCUACCAUCAAACUUAGGCAGAACUUGCAAGUCUGCAUGUAUAUGUAAAAAGUUUUCUCACAUUUAUUAGUAUUCAAGGGAAUGCAAAUUAAAAUCUGUUCAUAUUACUUAUGCUAAGGAUAUACUGAUACUAGGAGUAUAAAUUUGUACAAAAAUUGAGAAAUCAACUUGGCAAUACUUAUCAAUGUCAUGUCUCCUCUAUUACCCAGAAAUUCUACUCUUAGGUCUUUGUGCUCAAUAAACUCACACACACAUAUAGAAACAUGAACAUACCACUACUAUGGCAUCAACUUUAUGGCAGCAAAAAUUAGAAGAACCUAAAUGUCAAUCAUUAAGAGAAUGUUUUGGAGUUCCCGUCGUAGCUCAGUGGUUAACGAAUCCGACUAGGAACCAUGAGGUUGCGGGUUCGAACCCUGGCCUUGAUCUAGUGGAUUAGGGAUCUAGUGUUGCCAUGAGCUGUGGUGUAGGUCACAGAUAGAGCUGAUCCCAUGUUGUUGUGGCUCUAGUGUAGGCCAGCGGCUACAGCUCCGAUUAGACCCCUAGCCUGGGAACCUCCAUAUGCCGUGAGUGCGGUCCUAAAAAGUAAAAAAAAAAAAAAAAAAAAGAGAAUGUUUUGAUUAUUGUUUAUCUAUUCCAUAGAAUAAGAGACAGCAAUGAAGAAGCCAUGGGCCCAGAGGUACGUGUACCCACACAGAUGAAAAUCUAAGUUUAAUACUGAAUGAAGACAUCAAAGAAGACAGACAGAUGGUGAAAAAACAUGUGAAAAUAUAUGCAACAUCACUAAUUAUUAGAGAAAUGCAAAUCAAAACUACAGUCAAUGGCCAUUAUCAAAAAGUCUACAAAGAAUAAAUGCUGGAGAAGGUAUGGAGAAAAGUGAACACUCCUACACUGUUGGUAGGAAUGUAGGUUGGUGCAACCAUUGUGGAGAGCAGUGUGGAGGUACCUUAAAAAACUAAAUAUGGAACUACCAUAUGAUCCAGCAAUCCCACUCUUGGGAAUAUACUUAGAGGAAACCAUAAUUCAAAAAGAUACAUGCACCCCAGUGUUCAUAGUAGCACUCUUUAUGAUAGCCAAGACAUGGAAGCAACCUAAAUAUGCAUUGUCAGAUAAAUGGUUAAAGAAAAUGUGGUACAUAUUUAAAAUGGAAUAUUACUUGGCCAUAAAAAUGAACAAAAUAAUGCUAUUUGCAGCAACAUGGAUGGACCUAGAGAUUAUCAUACUGAUUGAAGUAUGUCAAACAGAGAAAGACAAAUAUCAUAUGAGAUCACUAAUAUGUGAAAUUUAAUAAAAAUGAUACAAAAGAAAUCAUUCACAAAACAGAAAGAGACUCAAGGAUUUCAAAAACAAACUUAUGGUUACUGAAGAGGAAAUGUUGGGGGAAAGGAUGGACUUAGAGGUUGGAAUUAGCAUACACACCCUACUAUAUACAGAAACAAUCAGUAACAAGGACCUACUAUAUAGCUUGGGCAAAUCUAUUCAGUACUCUGGUAGCCUAUAUAGGGAAAGAAUCUGAAAAAGAAUGGAUAUAUAUAUAUGUGUCUGUACAGCUGAUUCACUUUGCUCUACACCUGAAACUAACACAAUGUUGUAAAUCAUCUACACUCCAACUGAACUUUGAUCAAAGAGCCCUCAGCGAGGAAUAUCAAUUCUUUCACUAACAUCAUUUCUUAAGUUGAGUGAGAUGUAUAUAUAUUUCUGUUAUAUUAUUUCAAUAACUUUUUUAUGACUGAAAUAUUUCAAAAUAAGUUGAAAAAUUAUAAAGCAAUAUAAAACAUUGGUUACUACUAAGUAAAAACAACUCAUACACACCAAAGUCAAAAUUCUCUCAAAUAUCAUCAAGAUGACAAUAGAGUUGCAUUUUACCAUAAUUAGAUGAUUUUCCAUCCUCAACUAAUAGAAAUAAAGCUGAAUUGCAGGAAGUGCAAAAAUAUGCAUAUUCAGACAUAAAUGGGCACACACAAUCGCCUGCACACUCACGAAUAACCAAGGUCAAAAAGGUCUUGUAUGAAAAGUAUGAAUAUUAUACUUUGAAAAAUACUAUAAGUACACAUUUUAAUGGCUAUAAUUAGUGACAUCUGUAAUUUUAAACAAGUUUUGAAUAGUUAUUGAAUAGAGAGAAGAGUAGAAUAUAUUUUUCUAGUUAGAACAAGACAAUUAUCAAGAUGUAGCUAAAUUUAGCAUACUACAACACUGUCAUAUGGGAUCACAUAUAUUACAAGUUAUAUAUAUAUAUAAUUGUAGAAUAUAUUUGACAUUUAAAGUUGACCCCCUAUUUAUUAACAGACCAAAACCCAGCCAUUCUUUACCUAUAUUCAAAUAAUGAUAAUGUUUCAGAUUUUUUUUAUUAAGAUUGUGCUUAUCCCCUUACUAGUGGCCAUCACAUUUUUUUUUUCGUCUUGGAAAUCCCAUGGGUAGGGUGAGACCUACACACCAGGUCAUGCAAAAGAGUAAAAAAAAAAAAAAAUCAUCAAUAAAAUACUAAUGACAAAUUCAGGGGAAAGGGAGGAAGGAAGAGACUGAGGAUGGAAGGAGAGAAAGAAAGGAAUAACUAUUGGACAGAGAAAAGCCUAGACUCCAGUUCAUCUUCAUCUUGCAUCCUUGGGAACCACACCAUGUACUUGAUGGAUAUUAUUUCAUCGGAAAAAAAUCUCUUUGAGUAUGUCUCUACUACAUGAAUUUGACCAUGGAGUUUUUGCUUCUAUCUCCUCUUCAAAUAGAAAUAUUCAGCGUGUGGAUGUCUAAGACAACACCUUAUUUUUUUGUUUGCUUGUUUUUAUUAACGUAUAGUUGAUUUAUAAUGUUCCAGUUUCCGCUGUACAGUAAAGUGACCCAGUCAUACAUAUACAUACAUUCCCUUUCUUAUAUUAUCUUCCAUCAUGGUCUAUCCCAAGAGACUGGAUAUACUUCCCUGUGCUGUACAGUAGAACCUCACUGAUUAUCCAUUCCAAAAUAGUUUGCAUCUAUUAACCUCAAACUCCUAGUCCAUCCCACUCCCUCCCCCUCCCCCUUGGCAACUAAAGGUCUGUUCUCUAUGUGUGUGAGUCUAUUUCUGUUGACAAUAUCUUAGAGAAUUCUUUUUUUAAAAUUGAAAUAUAGUUUAUUUAUAAGGUUGUGUCAAUUCCCGCAGUACAGCAAAGUGAUUCAGUUAUAGACACAUAUACGGUUUUUCAAUAUUGUUUUCCAUUAUGGUUUAUCUCAGGAUAUUGAAUAUUUUCUUUUAAUGAUGGCAAAAGAUUUUUACCCAUAAUCAAAGGUUCAGAGAACCAUUUGUGUGUUUCCUUAUCUGAGGCCCAACUAACUAAGCCUUAUGCUUUCCUUUGUGUCCUUUACGGACAGGUUCCCUAGAUGGCCUUGAUUCUUAAACAAUUUUAGUUUAGGGCCCUGUGGCAGACACACCUGAUGCCUAUAUCAUAUCUUUUCAACCCAUCUCUGAUUUCACUCCCAGGUGAAUCAGGUAGACAAUUUCUUACAAGCUCAGUAACAACUGUGUUGACAGUAUCCCAUCCAAAGUGCACUUUACACACAUGUUCCUAAUUUUUCUUAGGCUCGUCCCUGAACUUAGGAUUGCCCAUGUGGCCCAUCAGUGCAAAAGAAGCAACAUCCCAGGGGGUAACCUUCCAAAUAUAGGUGGAUAAUUCUUAGAGACAUUUAUAUACUUCUCAGAGGAUCUGGGUGGAAUCAAGGUUCAUUGCCUACAGCAGUACUUGGCCAACUCAUUGUUAUACUGGUUUUCUAUCUUCCCUGUGUCACUCCAAUUUCUUCAUUCUUACUUCCUGGAAUUAUUUCCAAAACCGGCUACCCACAGUCAUAUUAAAUCCUUGCUUCAGACUCUAAUUGAGGAAAACCUAAACUACAACCAAACCCUGCCAAAGUGUACAUUAUACACAAUGCAAUUCAGACACCUGUUUUGGGAAGAGUAAUAAAUGUAUGCAACCAAGACUUCUCUGCCGUUAUCUACUGAGAUAAUUGUCAUUGGUAAACACAAGACAGUAAAUAUCCCGGAUUUCAAUGCAUAGUCUGUCAGAAGCAUCAGGGGACUCAAGGGGAAGCUAAGCCUGAUAAUAUCUAGAUAGAGAGUCUUACCUCUCUUUGGAAACAGACUAUACAAACUCCAAAGUCAUUACAUCCUGGAGCUUCCAGGUAAGGUAGUAUUCAAGAUAGGAAGGGGAACAAUUGAAGAUGUGGGGCCAAAAAAACCCACUUUCAGUAAGGUUUUGGUCCUUGUUAUUGAACCUUCCAUGCUAAGCCCCUUUCAUAGCUCUCUUCUUAAGACAACUCCCUCAUGGUCUCCUUCACUUUUUCUUCAUAGAGGAAAGUGAUCUAAUAAAAUCAUUGAAAACAAAGGCUUUGGUGAACCACCCUGUAAUGCUGACCAUAAAUUUCAAAAGAUACCUCUGGUGGCAGGCUUUCAUUUUUAAGAGACACGUCACCAUCCAAGAGAAGAAGCACAUCUGCUGUAUUUAUUUGGAUGUGUGGCUAUGAUGUGGUGACUUGCUAAUAAUCUGCUGUUCAUGCUAUAGUAGAAAUUAUUUACAAUGAAGAGAUUUUCCUUUCUUCCAUGAAACAUAUAGCAUGUGAAUGAUCACCUACGAGGACAAGUUAAAGCUGUGUUAUUAAAAGUUGAGUCUUUAGAAUAUCUAUACUGUUCACUUCAAAAAGCACACAUUCUUCUAUUACUCAAAAUUUUAUUGUACAUUUCUCCUCCAUCUUACUGAUACAUUCUACUGAGACUUUUACCUUAUAAUCAACUCAUCCAAAACCUUCAGGCCAACUUGGUAUCAAAAGUCUUUGCACAUGGGGGAGUUCUCGUUGUGGCUCAGUGGUUAACAAAUCUGACUAGGAACCAUGAGGAACUCCUAUAAAGCUACAUCUUAACAAUGGGAAUGUGAGAACAAUUUAUUUUCAGGAGUCUUUUUCUCUUGCCUGGAAAGCUCAACUAACCCUUCUUAAGUAGUCUACCUCUGUAUGGUUUUACCAGCAAUAUCUCAAGGAAAAGAGAAUUUUUCCUCAUUGUCUUCUGGGAUGGGCUAUGAUGACUCAUGUUUUUGGGCAGACUGAAAAUGUUCUUAUGACACUCUUCUUAGUCCAGCUCCCUGUUCUGGGUGCUCUUUUAGCAGCCUCUAGAUUUGAGGUUAGCUUAAGGUUAUUCUCCAACUUGAAAUGCUAUCAGGUCCAAGGUUGUUUUCUACCAAUUUCUGAAGCCUAAAGUGCAUUGGCUGUGCCCAGGGAAAGGCAGAUGACCUCUUGGAGGCCUCUUAUCGCUUCUUUCCUCUGUUAAUGGGCCAAUAUUAGUUGCUUAAGGUAGGAUGGUCAUUUUGGUGAAUCUUAAAUCUUCCAAUGCCACUGGGUAACUUAUUGAGCCUUUCCUUUGUCAUUUAUAACAUAAAGGUCAUAAUUCUUACCUCUUAGCGAUUUUAUGAAGGUUAAACAUGACUGAUUUUACACCUAGAUAUAGAUACAGAGAACCCUCAUGCACGUGCUCCAUAUCUUGGGUUUUCUUGUCCUUUUGACAAGGCUCUUGCAUACAUAUAUGUUUACAGUGUUCUGUCAAUUUUCUACUGUACAGCAUGGUCACCCAGUUACACAUAUAUGUAUACAUUCUUUUUUCUCACAUUAUCAUGCUCCAUCACAAGUGACCAGACAUAGUUCCCAGUGCUACACAGCAGGAUCUCAUUGCCAAUCCAUUUCAAAGGCAAUAGUCUGUAUCUAUUAAGCCCAAGCUGCUCCUAGAACUAUUAGCGGUGGCUCACUUUGGUACCUAUAGAGGGCUGCCACAAGUAGUAUUCCUGAGAAGCCAAUGAACUUGAACCAUUAUAUGACAUUUUGUUGCCCAGACCUCACUUUUACAAUAAGUACAAAGUCCUUCAAGGAGACCAAUGGAGCAAGACUGGUGAUACCAGGCAGUGUUUCUCCAAAGCUGAUACUCCAUCUGAUGUGCCCUGAAACCUACAACCUACAGUUGUUGCUUCCUCUGCAGUGUCAAACUUUGUUACCAGAAGAACAUGGCAAAAACCCCUGGGCUGAGAGCCACAGAAUUCAAACUGGAUCACAGAUAUUCUCUAUUCACUCAAGACCAAAGUCCAAACUAAGUCUAUUAAUGAUGCUAAUUUGUUUAUGCAUAAAGAUAUUCUCUAUUAUGGAUUUUUUAGCCUCUUAUGAUGUUCUACCCAUCACUUUCUGCUCUUACUUUGAUUGCUUCUCACUUAAAUUCUGACAUUUCAAACUUUAGUUUAAAAUCCAUCUAUUCCACCACACCUGUCUAGGUCACUUAUUUCAGCCUGAAGUUAUGUAUCUCUGAAUUGCUAUUGGUAUAAUCAUGCCUUAUACAGUGACUGCCAUCAUCCUUUCAAAGAGCCAUUUAAACAUUUCAUUGUUAUUUAAUGAGAUAUAUAUGUCAGGUUUAUUUUCUCAAAAAAGAUGGUAAAACUUUGAGGGAAUGCAUUAUGCUUUUUUGUGUCUGCUGUAAUGCCUACCACAAAUAUCUUUAGUGGACAUGAUAUUUUCAUUUGC